rnacentral:rRNA from 1 species
AGAGAUGUGUGAUGACGCAUAUCAAUAAGCGGAGGAAAAGAAACUAACAAGGAUUCCCCUAGUAACGGCGAGUGAAGCGGGAAGAGCUCAAAUUUGAAAUCUUAAAGGUUCUACCUUGACGAAUUGUAGUUUAUAGAAGUGUUUUCUGUUGGAGUUUUCGGUAAAAGUUCUUUGGAAUAGGACAUCAUAGAGGGUGAGAAUCCCGUAUUUGACCAUUACUUUCCAGCUGUGUGAUACACUUUCAAAGAGUCGGAUUGUUUGGGAAUGCAGUCCAAAAUGGGUGGUAAAUUUCAUCUAAAGCUAAAUAUUGGCGAGAGACCGAUAGCGAACAAGUACCGUGAGGGAAAGAUGAAAAGAACUUUGAAAAGAGAGUUAAACAGUACGUGAAAUUGUCAAAAGGGAAGCGUUUGACAGCCAGUGUUGUUUAGUUGAAAAUCAAUUCAAUAAUUUUUGAUUUUGAGUAGUAUUGACUUCAUCAGCUUGCUGCUUUCUUUUCAGAAAUUAUUGAAUGCACUUUUCAGUUAACAAGUCAACAUCAAUUUCUUUUGUUGUAAAAGGGUAAGAGGAAGGUGGCUUACGCUUCGGCGUAAGUGUUUAUAGCCUUUUACCUCUGCAAUCGGAGAGAUUGAGGACAGCAGCGUAGACUCUUCGGGGUUAGAUACACUUGUGCUAAGCUAUAGCCUUGUAUAGACAACUUGUUGACUAUGCUCAGUCAUGUAGCUUACUCGCUUGUGCUAUUUUACCUACGCUUAGGAUGUUGAGUAGCGACAUACGCAC